GCUGGCGGCGUGCCUAACACAUGCAAGUCGAACGAGAAAGUGGAGCAAUCCAUGAGUACAGUGGCGACCGGGUGAGUAACACGUGAUCAACCUACCCUCGAGUGGGGAAUAACUCCGGGAAACCGGAGCUAAUACCGCAUAAAAUCUUCGGUCCACAUGAACUGAUGAUCAAAGGAGCAAUUCGUUUGAGGAGGGGGUCGCGGCUGAUUAGCUAGUUGGUAGGGUAAUGGCCUACCAAGGCUUAGAUCGGUAUCCGGCCUGAGAGGGCGCACGGACACACUGGAACUGAAACACGGUCCAGACUCCUACGGGAGGCAGCAGUGGGGAAUUUUGCGCAAUGGGGGAAACCCUGACGCAGCAACGCCGCGUGGAGGAUGAAGUCCCUUGGGACGUAAACUCCUUUCGACCGGGAAGAUACUGACGGUACCGGAUGAAGAAGCACCGGCUAACUCUGUGCCAGCAGCCCGCGGUAAUACAGAGGGUGCGAGCGUUGUUCGGAAUUAUUGGGCGUAAAGGGCGCGUAGCGGUGCGGUAAGUCACCUGUGAAAUCUCCUGGC
rnacentral:rRNA from 1 species